rnacentral:lncRNA from 1 species
GGAAUGAUUUGAGAGAUCAUUAAUUUGUUGUCUCCUGUAGUAUUUUGUUUUGUUUAGAGCUUUCUUCUCAGUUACACAGAAUGAAUUUGAAGUAUAUAAAUUGAAAGCCAUAUGGAUUUAUUAGAAAUGGCAAAGGAAGUACACCUUUCAAGUUUUCUGUGGAACUGAGUUUUCCUCAUUUUUAGUAGUUCAGAGGGAACCACAACAAAAUGUCAAUUCCUGUCAUUCACAUAAUUUAUUCUCACACUGUGUGUGUCCUUUCGGUGACUCUGAGUGGCGGACGGGGUUGUUCAGGAAUGGAAAGAACACCUGGGCCUCUUUUGGAUAGAUUUCAAAGCAUGCAGUUUCAUAACAGCGUAUUUCUAGAGUCCAUGCACACUAAGAUGUCAACAUACUGGAAAACACGGCUGAAAAAGACUUUGUGCCACAUCUGGGUGCGAGAGCUGUC